AGUAUCUUUAAUUCAGUCCGGUGAGGCUGGUAAGAUAGUUAUAUAUAAUUGUAGUAAUAAAUUAUAGGAUAAUUAUGACUUCUUGCCGGCGGCAGGAAGUUUUUUAUG
rfam:Clostridium formicaceticum strain ATCC 27076, complete genome.